rnacentral:pre_miRNA from 1 species
AAAGAAACUUGACCAUGUCAACCUUCUCCAUUUUUAAAUUGAUUCUUGAGUUUUAUUUCUGUAAUAAUUGAAGAAAUAAAGAAAAAUCAAAGUGAUUUAAGUUGGGGAAGUUUGACAUGGUCAAUUUUUUUU